rnacentral:lncRNA from 1 species
UAACAUUUUCCACAUGUUUUCCAUUAUUUCCAUUUAUUUACAUCAAAUUACAAAAAUCAUAAAAAAUAGCAUAUGAGUCCAAUUUAAUCCAUUCUUUUUUCCACAUGUUCAUUUUAAUGUCUAUUAUUUUGUGACAUUUAUUUUUUGAUUUGUGCCUUGCUGGAAUUUUGAAUGUGCUGGUUGUUUGAACAUGAUGCAAAAAUGACAUGAUGUGCUAUUUGAUUUGUGAAAUGCUAAU